GUAGGGUUUAGGGUUAGUAGGGUUUUGGGUUAGGUAGGGUUUAGGGUUAGGUAGGGUUUAGGGUUGGUAGGGUUUAGGGUUAGGUAGGGUUUAGGGUUCGGUAAGGUUUAGGGUUAGGUAGGGUUUAGGGUUAGGUAGGUUUUAGGGUUAUGUAGGGUUUAGGGUUAGGUAGGGUUUAAAAUUGGGUAGGGUUUAGGGUUAGUAGGGUUUAGGGUUAUGUAGGGUUUAGGGUUAGUAGGGUUUAGGGUUAGUAGGAUUUAGGGUUAAGUAAGGUUUAGGGCUAGAAAGGGUUUAUGGUUAGAAUGGUUUUAGGGUUAGGUAGGGUUUAGGUUAGGUAGGGUUUAGGGUUAGUAGGGUUUAGGGUUAUGUAGGGUUAGGUAGGGUUUAGAAUUAGGUAGGGUUUAGGGUUAGCAUGGUUUAAGGUUAGAAGGGUUUAGGGUUAGUAGGGUUUAGGGUUAGUAGGAUUUAGGGCUAGAAAGGGUUUAGGGUUAGGUAGGGUUUAGGGUUAGGUAGGGUUUAGGGUUAUAAAGGGUUUAGGGUAGGUAGGGUUUAGGGUUAGGUAGGGUUUAGGGUUAGGUAGGGUUUAGAAUUAGGUAGGGUUUAGGGUUAGGUAGGGUUUAGGGUUAGAAAGGGUUUAGGGUUAGUAGGGUUUAAGGUUAGUAGGGUUUAGGGCUAGAAAGGUUUUAGGUUAGGUAGGGUUAAUAGGGUUUAGAGUUAUGUAGGAUUAGGGUUAGGUAGGGUUUAGGGUUAGUAGGGUUUAGGGUAGGUAGGGUUUAGGGUUAGGUAGGGUUUAGGAUUUUAGGGUUAGGAAGGGUUUUAGGGUUAGAAAGGGUUUAGGGUUAGUAGGGUUUAGGGUUAAAUAGGGUUUAGGGUUAGGUAGGGUUUAGGGUUAGUAGGGUUUAGGGUAGGUAGGGUUUAGGGUUAGGUAAGGUUUAGGAUUUUAGGGUUAGGAAGGGUUUUAGGGUUAGAAAGGGUUUAGGGUUAGUAGGGUUUAGGGUUAAAUAGGGUUUAGGGUUAGGUAGGGUUUACGUUUAGGGUUAGGUUGGUUUACAAUUUGAUAGGUUUUGGGUUUAGGUAGGAUGAAGGGUUUAGGGAUUAGGGUUUGGUUUAUGUAGGGUUUAGGGUUAGAUAGGGUUAGAUAGGGUUAAGGUAGGAUUUGUCAGGUAGGAUUUAGGGUUUAGGUAGUAGGAAAGGUUAGCGUUUGGUUUAGGUUGGGUUUAAGGUUUGGUUUAGAAUAAUGCUUAGGAUUAUAGGGUUUAGGGUUUGUUUGUUUUUUUGUUUAUGCAUUUAGUGCUGAGUUUUUCGGAUAAAAUUUUAUAUUAAUAUUAUUGAUUCAUAAUUUUUCUUAAAAUGUUAAAAAUUUUAAAGUGAUUUUUAAUGUUCUUAAAACAAAGUAUGUAUUUUUUAUUAAGUUUUUU
rnacentral:lncRNA from 1 species